UGCUGAAAAGUUCCUGGCUUUAAGGGUAUCAUGAAAGGCCUGGUUGGAGGCCCAACCUUCUGAGUUAUUUUACAGGGCUUAGGAAAACUGAAGGACCACUACUGCAAUAAGUAUGUGAAUCUGAGAGGGGAAUAUGUUGAAUAAAAUCAUAAUUAACUAAUCCUCCUGUAUUUUCUUUUACCCAAAACUAGUUGCUUUUCAGCACCCACUUUGUAUAUGUAUAUAUAUAUAUAUAUAUAUAUAUAUAUAGUGGUUAGGAUGUUGCACUCAUGAUUGCGAGAUCAUGGGUUCAAUUCCCAGACUGAGCGCUAUGUUGUGUUCUUGAGCAGAUCUCUUCAUUUCAUGUUGCUCUGUGAUCAGUUCGUCAUCUGACAUGUGGCACCCUGUUGCACCUGUACAGGUAAUGUCGAUUUGAUGAAGGGAGUGAGCUUAUGUAUACACAAACAUUCGAUCACUAUAAGCAAAUCAUUUGUAUGGGUGUUCGACAAGAAAUUGCUAAACCCUCAUAUGUUGUCUAACAACAGGAGAGUCCAUUAUGAUAUAUACAUACACACACACACACACACACACACACACACAUAUAUAUAUAUAUACUAGCAGAGAUACCCGGCGUUGUUCGGGAUUAAAAUGGCGUAGUUUGUAUAUAAUAUAUUACAGUUAUGUUGAAACAGGUGAUAUGGGAAAGUGCAGCAUUGACGACAAAACAUUUGUGGAGUAAAUGCUGGGCUAAUUCAACUAAGCAACAUGCUAUGCGUUUGUUUGGAGUAUUUUAGGCCCUAACCUGUCAUGGAAAAUUGGAGGUGGGAGUUAAGGGAUUUUUGAAUGCACUGAAAAACUGUCAGUGGACAUACUCUCCUUUGCAGCGGUUGGUGCUGUGUCUAACACAAGCCAUCAUCUGAAAUUUUGACACUUCUGUUGGAUUUGUUGUCCUACAUCACUCACAAAGUAAAUUUGGAGGAACUAUGGUUGUUCAUUUGCGGGUAACAGGGAACCAAUGAGGUGAUAUACUUACCCUUGAACUUUCAAGUCGGCGUAAAUUCAUGUUUAUCUAUCUUCUUAGAUGCAUCAAACGAUGUCAUUUGAAAUGCAGAGUUGUAUUGUCUGAUAUUAUUCAUAAAAUCCUUUGACUGGAUGGAAAUGCCUUCUAGAAGAUUCAUAAGAGGUUGAGAAGGAGCUGGUAGUGCUGGCAAUGUUACCUGACUGCCUGAGCAGAACAUACCAUUUGCUUCAUUUGAAAAUUUUAAAGCUCUACAUAAACGACAAUUUGUGUUUAGCACACCAAUUUGGACAGAGUUAUCAUUUUCAUAAGAAUGGGAUGGAUCAUAUCUGAAAACAGCUUCAGGAAUUGUGAAGAAUGAAUUUGUACAUAGUCUGCUUCUGAGAGUUUUUCUAUUGGACCUCUGUCUAAUCAUUAAAACAUUGUUUAAUGCUGCAACAUGCAUGCACGUAUGUGUGUGUGUGAGAGAGAAAGAGAGUAAAAAAGAGAGAUAGAGUGAGUGAGUGAAGGUGUGUGUCGUGAUGAUUGAUGUCUUUUAAGGUACACACACACAUGUAGAAAAUGUGACAUCAUCGUAUAACAUUUAUGAUAGUUGAUUUAUGGAAAAGAUUAUAAUGUUAAAUUUUUGAAAUGCAAAUAUGUGAAUGGCAAUUAAGUUUAAUUUGUAGCCGAAAUAGUACUGAAUCUUUUGAUAUCCCAUACAUCAAAAUCUGUAACUCAGUUUUGGAAUGCAUAAGGAAUAUAUAUACACACAUGUAUAUAUAGGACAGACUUUUUUCAAACUGAAAGUAUUAUCUCACAUUACAAUAGAGACAUAACACUGAAUUAGUGUAAGAUAUGAGAGAUUGUUCUGGGCUCGCAUUAGGCAAGAAGUUGGAAAUUUUUUUGGCCCAUGACACUUCAUGGACCUUGGCUUUUAUAUUCGACGACUGUUACUUUAAGUAUUUUAUUUCGAUUUUAUGUAUAUAUGUAUGUAUGAGGCAAUGAGGUAGACUCUACAUGGUAGCUACGCCUGUUAGAAAUAGCAGCCAAAUCUCCCUCAAAACACCCUACUGCCUUAAUCCAACAAUUCUGCCUAUUAUGUAGUUUGAAUGAGAAACUGUAACUAAAGAUUAAGAUUAUUAACUUCAAAAUUUUACGCAUUUUAAUAGCAAUCAAUUUUUUCUCUUUAUUUGUGUAGCUUUUCAUGUCAGCUGUAAAGGUAAAAAGGGUUAACUUGGACGGUGUUAAGUAGUGGAGAUGUUUCGUGAUUCUAUGGGGUGGUUACUUUUGACUGUUUCUUCUCAAUAAGGAUAACUGAUUGAUAACAAAUCUUAACACAAUAUAUAUUCAACUUCAAGUGGAAUUGCACACCAUAAGAGAGACAGCAUAGCAACGGUUUUGACUGACUGUUAUCCUGUACUCCCUUUGUUGCUAGCGAAAUGGUAUGUGCCAACCGUUUCAGCAACUGGUUGAUUUUAAUGGCAGAACAAACUGGAUAAAAAAAUUACAAAAAUAGCGAUUCUCACCUUGAAACUAACUAUUUUGAAAAUCUUUUUAGAUUAUGGAAUGCCCUGCUCUCUCAUGUAUCCAUGUUUAAAAUUUCAGCGGGAUCAGAUGAACAAUACUUGAGUUAUAAGUGCACAAACAGACAGACAGAAUGGAUUUUAUAUAUUAAGAUAUAUAUUGGGUCUUCCCAUAAAUAAUGUGGUCUAUUUAUACUUCUUUUAUUUUUCGAAAUUAAGACAAACAAAGUUCUUUUUAAAUCUAAAAUAUGCUCUCCUUCAUUUUCUACGAUGCUCUUCUAUCUAUCUGGUAGACUUGCAAGGCCCCUCUUCCAAAGUUCCCUUGUUCAUGAUGAAAAAUACUCCUCCAGUACUAUUUUGACUUCGUCUACAGAAUUCAUAUUUUUUUCCUUCCAAAUGAUUUGGAAGACUGUGGAAUAAAUGUUAAUCAGAUGGGGAAAUGUCUGGCGAAUAUGGUGGGUGGGGCAUCAUUUCCCAUUCAAACAAUUCCAGCCUUUUGAAUGACAUCCUCAUUGUAUGUGGCUGAGCAUUAUCCUAAUGGAAGAACACCUUUAGUCUUCAAAACCAAAGAUGGUCAUUUUUCUUCUAGCGCUGAUUUAAGCCACUCAAGCUGCUUGCAGUAGAUCUCCUUCGUUAUCAUUUGGCUUGGGUUUAAAAGUUUCUUCUCUGCAGCCCCUCAUAUAUAUCUUUCUAUUUUCUGAUUGUUGGGCAUCUUUUAUCUUUUACUUUUUUAACUUCUUUGAGCCAUUGAACUGUGAUCUUGCUGGGGCACCACCUUGGUGAGCAGCGGGACUGAACCUGAAACCAGGUGAUUAGGAAACAAUCUUCUUACCACACAGCCAUGUGUAUAAGUGAGCACGUGCGUGUGUGCAUGCGCAUGUGUGCAUGUGCAUGUGUGCUGCAUGUGUGUUUGUAUGUUGCAUGCAUGCAUAUAUGCGUUGUUAAUGAAUGUUUGUAUGUUGUGUGUGUACAAGUGUAUGCAUGCAUGCGCAUGGGUGUAUGUGUGCGUGUGCAUGUGCAUGUUCGUAUGUGUUGUUCAUGAAUGUGUGUAUGCUGUGUGUGCACAUGUGUGUGUGUGUGUGUGUGUGUGCGUGUGCACACACAUGCAUAGGUAUCUCUUUACUCUUUUACUCUUUUUCUUGUUUCAGUCAUUUGACUGUGGCCAUGCUGGAGCACCGCCUUUAGUCAAGCAAAUCAACCCCAGGACUUAUUCUUUGUAAGCCUAGUACUUAUUCUAUCAGUCUCUUUUGCUGAAGCGCUAAGUUACGGGAAUGUAAACACACCAGCAUCAGUUGUCAAGCGAUGUUGGGGGAACAAACAGACACACAAACAUAUACACACACACACAUAUAUAUAUAUAUAUAUAUGUAUAUAUAUAUAUAUACAUAUAUACGACGGGCUUCUUUCAGUUUCUGUCUACCAAAUCCACUCACAAGGCUUUGGUCGGUCUGAGGCUACAGUAGAAGACACUUACCCAAGGUGCCAUGCAGUGGAACUGAACCCGGAACCAUGUGGUUGGUAAGCAAGCUACUUACCACUCAGCCACUCCUACACCCAUGUACAGGUUUCUGCAUAUUUGGUGUAAAAUAUUUAUCUAAUUUUAUUGCAGCUUCAAUGUAUUAAAAAAAUCCAUAAAACAAGUCUUCUAUGUUGAAAAAAAGCCAGACACACCUAUCAAAGGUGAUAUUAGAAAGAAUUAAUGAUUAUUGAUUUCUUUUUUAUUUAUUUAUUUCUUUGUUUUUAUCAGACAACAAACUUAUCAUGACUAGCAAAUCAUUUAAAAAACAGUUUCAUUUUCGGUUGGUUUGAUCUGAAGGAAGAGGCAGCACCUAAUGCAUGCACAUUUGCAGAACCUCUGAGUCCAGUUACCAUUCCUCUUGAAUAAUUACAAGUUGACAGCUGCUGGGGAAAACACAGGCAGAGAGUGAAUUCCAAAAAGCUCUUCUUUAGGGAAAGAUUGACUGGACAUGGUAUUUAGUGCGGGGCAUGGUACUGGAACAAUACCAUUUGUUGACUCUGUAUUGGUUGGAUGAACCUUUUUCUCUAGGUAUAGUUCAGAGAGACACUAUGUUACGAUAUUGCCAAUAGAACCCCUAUGUUACUGUGUGUAUAUGUAUGCAUUUGUGUGUGUGUGAGAAUGAUGAUGAUGAUGAUGAUAUGUAUAUAUUGUUAUCAGCAUCAUCAUCAGCAUCAUCAUUUAACAUGCCUUAUUCUAUGAUGGCAUUGGUUGGAUGGUUCGACAAGAACAGAUGAGCCAGAGAGCUCUGUCAGGUUCCGUUGUCUGCUUUGGCAUAGUUUCAACAACUGGAUGUCCUUCUCGACACCCACUGCUUAACAGAGUGGACGAGGUUCUUUUUUAUAUGGUAUUGGCACUGGCACCAGUGAGGUCAUCAAGGACUCGCAAGAUAAGAUCCCUCAGCUGAGCAGGGUAUAGACUGGAGAUAAAGAAACUAUGAUAGAGGGAGAGAGGAGCAGGGGACUUGCUGAAGAGGUGAAUGCAUGGCUUGUCCAUCUGGAAAGGGAGAAAGACAGAGAAGAAACAGAUAUGAGGUUCAGCUACAAUGUAAAUAUGAGACAGAAUAGGAAGCUUUGAAAAGGCGGUGAUCUGGCAGAAUCAUUAGCAUGCUGGGCGAAAUGCUAAGCGGUAUUUCGUCUGCUGUUACGUUCUGAGUUCAAAUUCUACCAAGGUCGAUUUUUGCCUUUCAUCCUUUCGGAGUCGAUUAAAUAAGUACCAGUUAUGCACUGGGGAUGAUAUAAUCGACUUAAUCUGUUUGUCUGUCCUUGUUUGUCCUCUCUGUGUUUAGCCCCUUGUGGGUAGUAAAGAAAUAGGAAUUUGUGGUACCUUGGGCAAGUGUCUAUUACUAUAGCUUCAGGCCAACCAAAGCCUUGUGAGUGGAUUUGGUAGACGGAAACUGAAAGAAGCCUGUCAUAUAUAUAUAUAUAUAUAUAUAUAUAUAUAUAUAUAUAUAUAUAUAUAUAUAUAUAUAUAUGCAUAUGUUUGUGUGCGCCUGUGUUUGUCCCCACCAUCACUUGACAACUGAGGCUGGUGUGUUUAUGUCCCUGUAACUUAGCAGUUAAGCAAAAAGAGACUACUAGAAUAAGUACUAGGCUCACAAAGAAUAAGUCCAGGGGUUGAUUUGUUCAACUAAAGGCAGUGCUCCAGCAUGGCCGCAGUCAAAUGACUGAAACAAAUAAAAGAGUAAAAGAGUAUAAUCUGAACAGUUAACAGAGCCACCAUAUUCCUUUAUAGUCAAGAAUAAAACCUGUACCUUACAAUAUAGUUAGCACUUUAAUAUAUUUCUGACAUCAAUUUUAUGAACAUCGAGGAGAAAGAAGGGGAAAAUUUCUUUUGGGUAUCAUAAUCUAGCUUUCUUAUAAACCUAUCCCUGACCUGAAGACAUAGAUUUCUGCCAUUGAAUUCAUACAAAAUGAGAUUUUUUACAAGAUAGUAAUACACUGAACAAUAUUUUCCACUGAAAACCAGAUGCUGUCCAUAGCCUCCACCCAACUAUUGAUCCAAUAACACACAGUGUCACAGAUGUGCAGACAAUGUAGGAACAUCACAAAACCGAUUAUUCACUUGGUAAGUAAGUGCACUAAAUUUGUGGCACAGUCAUAAAAGCAAUAACAUUAAAAGGUGGAUAAUAUAAAUCUAUCUGUUGUAAUAUAUGUAUGUAGUAUAUAUAAACAUUGUGGUAGUUGAGGUCAGUGGUUCUAAUGUAACCAGAAAUUAUAGAAGAAACUAAGGAAUAAAAUCAUAUGAUCUAUUCUUUGUAUUUUUUCAUAAGUGUUGGAUUGGGGUUAAUCAUUAGGGCAUCAGUAUUUCUUCUGACUCCACGUUCUGAGUUCAAAUUACACUGAGGUCGCCUUUGCUUUUCAUCUUUUCAGGGUUGAUAAAAUAUAUACCUGAGUAGUACUCCUUCUGAUGAGAGAUAAAUAUCAUUUAUUUAAAGGACACAAUACAAGUCUUUAAGUGCUGCUAAUAGUUUCAUCUGUAAAGAAACAUCUCUAACAUAUUCAUCAGGCACAAACCACAUAUCAUAAUGUACUUCUCUUGUUCAUUUUUGUAGUUUAUGAUAUCUGGUUUGUGCCUGAUGAGAGACAUUUCUCAACAUAUGAAACAAUUAGUAGCACUUAAAGACAUGUAUUGUGUCCUUUAAAUUAAUAAUAUAUAUAUAUGUAUAUAUGUGUGUGUGUGUGUGUGUGUGUAUCAUCAGCAUUAUCAUCAUCAUUAUUUAGAGUCCGCUUUCCAUGCUAGCAUGGGUUGGACAGUUCAACUGGGGUCUGGAAAGUCAGGAGGCUGCACCAGGCUCCAGUCUGAUCUGGCAGAGUUUCUACAGCUGGACGCCCUUCCUAAAGCCAACCACUCCGUGAGUGUAGUGGGUGCUUUUUAUGUAUCACCGGCAGAGAUGCCAGGGGAGGCUGGCAAUGGCCACGAUCAGUUAGUGCUUUUUACGUGCCACCGGCACGGAAGCCAGUCAAGGCAGCACUGGCAUCGGCCACGUUUGGAUGCCCGGAGCUCUUGGCGAAAUGCAAGCGAUGCACGGCAGUACAGAGCUCUUGGCAAAAUGCACAGUAGUGUGGUGAAGAGGCGGAAAAUGUAAUUGGACGAGCAUGGUGGAAUGUCCCAGUGAAAACCUCAAUAAACUUUAAGCAAAACAAACCUGAUAUUAUAUAUAUAUGUUUCUAUGUAUAUACGCAUAUCCUCCUCCUCCUCCUCCUCAUCAUCAUCCUCCUCCUCAUCAUCAUCAUCAGCAGCAGCAGCAGCAGCAUCAUAUAAUGUCCAUUUUCCAUGCUGGCAUGGGUUGAACGGUUUGACUGAAAACUGGAAGCUGGGGAGCAGCUCCAGGUUCCAGUCUGAUUUGGCAAGGUAUCUACUGCUGGAUGCCCUUCCUAACAUCAGUUGUUAAUUCAAGAGUGUAGAGGGGGCCCUUUUACUUGCCACUGGCACAGGUGCUGGUUACGAAACACCCGCAUUGGCCAUGACUAUGAUCUCAC
rnacentral:lncRNA from 1 species